CGGGGGAGCAAGCGUUGUUCGGAUUUACUUGGCGUAAAGGGCGCGUAGGCGGCCACCGCAAGUCGACUGUGAAAUCUCCGGGCUUAACCCGGAAAGGUCAGCCGAUACUGCGGGGCUAGAGUGCAGAAGGGGCAACUGGAAUUCUCGGUGUAGCGGUGAAAUGCGUAGAUAUCGAGAGGAACACCUGCGGCGAAGGCGGGUUGCUGGGCUGACACUGACGCUGAUGCGCGAAAGCUAGGGGAGCGAACGGGAUUAGAUACCCCGGUAGUCCUAGCCUUAAACGAUGAAUGCUUGGUGUCUGGGGUUUUAUAGUCCCCGGGUGCCGUCGCUAACGCUUUAAGCAUUCCGCCUGGGGAGUACGGUCGCAAGACUG
rnacentral:rRNA from 1 species